UAGGGAAUCUUCGGCAAUGGGGGGAACCCUGACCGAGCAACGCCGCGUGAGUGAAGAAGGUUUUCGGAUCGUAAAGCUCUGUUGUUAAGGAAGAACGAGUGUGAGAAUGGAAAGUUCAUGCUGUGACGGUACUUAACCAGAAAGGGACGGCUAACUACGUGCCAGCAGCCGCGGUAAUACGGAAGGUCCGGGCGUUAUCCGGAUUUAUUGGGUUUAAAGGGAGCGUAGGCUGUCUAUUAAGCGUGUUGUGAAAUUUACCGGCUCAACCGGUGGCUUGCAGCGCGAACUGGUCGAAUUGAGUAUGCAGGAAGUAGGCGGAAUUCAUGGUGUAGCGGUGAAAUGCUUAGAUAUCAUGACGAACUCCGAUUGCGCAGGCAGCUUACUGUAGCAUAACUGACGCUGAAGAUCGAAAGUGCGGGUAUCAAACAGG
rnacentral:rRNA from 1 species